rnacentral:rRNA from 1 species
GAUGAACGCUGGCGGCGUGCCUAAUACAUGCAAGUCGAGCGAACAGACGAGGAGCUUGCUCCUCUGACGUUAGCGGCGGACGGGUGAGUAACACGUGGAUAACCUACCUAUAAGACUGGGAUAACUUCGGGAAACCGGAGCUAAUACCGGAUAAUAUAUUGAACCGCAUGGUUCAAUAGUGAAAGACGGUUUUGCUGUCACUUAUAGCUGGAUCCGCGCCGCAUUAGCUAGUUGGUAAGGUAACGGCUUACCAAGGCAACGAUGCGUAGCCGACCUGAGAGGGUGAUCGGCCACACUGGAACUGAGACACGGUCCAGACUCCUACGGGAGGCAGCAGUAGGGAAUAUUCCGCAAUGGGCGAAAGCUUGACGGAGCAACGCCGCGUGAGUGAUGAAGGUCUUCGGAUCGUAAAACUCUGUUAUUAGGGAAGAACAAAUGUGUAAGUAACUAUGCACGUCUUGACGGUACCUAAUCAGAAAGCCACGGCUAACUACGUG